CACAGACAACCAGGAUGUUGGCUUAGAAGCAGCCACUCAUUCAAAGAGUGCGUAAUAGCUCACUGGUCGAGUGAUCCUGCGCCGAAGAUUUCCGGGGCUAAAACUUACUACCGAAGCUACGGCAUCAGUAAUGAUGGGUAGGGGAGCUUCCCAUACGGGUUGAAGCAUGACCGUAAGGACAUGGGGACAGUAUGGGAGUGAGAAUGUUGGCAUGAGUAGCGAGAUGUGGGUGAGAAUCCCACAGGCCGUAAACCCAAGGUUUCCAGGGGGAGGUUCGUCCGCCCUGGGUUAGUCGGGACCUAAGCUGAGGCCGAAAGGCGUAGGUGAUGGACAACAGGUUGAUAUUCCUGUACUACCGAUAACCGUUUGAGAGAAGGGAUGACACAGUAGGAUAAGCUAAGCACACUGUUGGUUAUGUGUGCCCAAGCAUUGAGGCAGUCAAAGUAGGCAAAUCCGCUUUGAUAAUGCUGGGAUGUGAUGGGGAGCGAAAUUUAGUAGCGAA
rnacentral:rRNA from 1 species